rnacentral:rRNA from 1 species
CCCUUAGAUGUUCUGGGCAGCACGCGCGCUACAAUGGUCUUCGCAAACGGAUGCAUUCUCGAAGGAGAAUGCCAAUCUUGGAAUCUAUGCCUUGGUCGGGACAGUUGCUUGCAAUUUUUCGACUCGAACCAGGAAUUCCUUGUAAUCGUGAUUCAUCACAUCACGAUGAAUACGUCCCUGCCCUUUGUACACACCGCCCGUCGCUCCUACCGAUCGAAGAGUUAGGUGAAUUGUUUUGAUCGAUAAGAUUUGACUAUGGUCAGCUCUCGUUGUGAAAUUCUGUGAAGCUGACUGUUUAGAGGAAGGAAAAGUCGUAACA